UAUAGGCGAUUGCGCUAGAUUUUUCGAAUUUGUAACACCUAACGUCGCAGAAUGUGCAAGUGGGACGAGUUGCGAUGAAACAAUUUUCGUAUGAUAUGGAGAAAACAAUGUUUUGUGAGACCACAAUUUGUCACUGUAAACUGUUAAUUAUUUACGAGAAAUGCUGCAAAAAUUCACGUACUUUUCGAUUUUCGUGUAAUGAAACUUCUCGGCCUAUCUUGAUGCGUGGAGAAUUCAGGCAAGGAACUAUCCAAGGAAGCGCUGUUUUCUAAUCGCAGAACGCAGUUGAGGAGAAAAACGGGAUUUGCUGUGGAAAUGUUUGCAAGCUACAAGCUGCGCGUUUGGGCGGCUGCGUUUUGAGUUUUCUGUCACGUUUACUUCGGUUCCAUGUUAUUCCCAAUUCGGCUGGUGAACAUAGAAUCGGCUGAUGGUGCUAUGCCCCUUGCAAAUGUUCUAUAAAGCGAUAAAAGUGUUUUUUUUUUU